UAAAUGUGUUGUGAGUGGCAUGAGUAAGGUAACUCAGUUGUUCUUGUGGAAUCAACAAGAGAUUUCAGAAGCAUAACUUUUUGGUAGAUGAACAGCUGGCGACCUUUGGUUCCAGUGUUCCU
rnacentral:snRNA from 1 species